rnacentral:rRNA from 1 species
ACUCCUACGGGAGGCAGCAGUGGGGAAUAUUGCACAAUGGGCGCAAGCCUGAUGCAGCCAUGCCGCGUGUAUGAAGAAGGCCUUCGGGUUGUAAAGUACUUUCAGCAGUGAGGAAAGGUGGGUGUAGUUAAGUANAUACCNCAUUUUGACGUUAGCUGCAGAAGAAGNACCGGCUAACUCCGUGCCAGCAGCCGCGGUAAUACGGAGGGUGCGAGCGUUAAUCGGAAUUACUGGGCGUAAAGCGCAUGCAGGUGGUUUGUUAAGUCAGAUGUGAAAGCCCGGGGCUCAACCUCGGAAUUGCAUUUGAAACUGGCAAACUAGAGUACUGUAGAGGGGGGUAGAAUUUCAGGUGUAGCGGUGAAAUGCGUAGAGAUCUGAAGGAAUACCGGUGGCGAAGGCGGCCCCCUGGACAGAUACUGACACUCAGAUGCGAAAGCGUGGGGAGCAAACAGGAUUAGAUACCCUGGUAGCUACGAGU